AUUGAACGCUGGCGGCAGGCUUAACACAUGCAAGUCGAGCGGGGGAAGGUAGCUUGCUACCGGACCUAGCGGCGGACGGGUGAGUAAUGCUUAGGAAUCUGCCUAUUAGUGGGGGACAACAUCUCGAAAGGGAUGCUAAUACCGCCUACGUCCUACGGGAGAAAGCAGGGGAUCUUCGGACCUUGCGCUAAUAGCUGAGCCUAAGUCGGAUUAGCUAGUUGGUGGGGUAAAUGCCUACUAAGGCGACGAUCUGUAGCGGGUCUGAGAGGAUGAUCCGCCACACUGGGACUGAGACACGGCCCAGACUCCUACGGGAGGCAGCAGUGGGGAAUAUUGGACAAUGGGGGGAACCCUGAUCCAGCCAUGCCGCGUGUGUGAAGAAGGCCUUAUGGUUGUAAAGCACUUUAAGCGAGGAGGAGGCUACUCUAGUUAAUACCUAGGGAUAGUGGACGUUACUCGCAGAAUAAGCACCGGCUAACUCUGUGCCAGCAGCCGCGGUAA
rnacentral:rRNA from 1 species